GGUUUACUAGCUCAGUUGGUAGAGCACUUGACUUUUAAUCAAGGUGUCCGGGGUUCGAUUCCCCGGUAAGCCACCA
rnacentral:tRNA from 1 species